rnacentral:rRNA from 1 species
UACGAAGGGGGCUAGCGUUGCUCGGAAUUACUGGGCGUAAAGCGCACGUAGGCGGCUUUCUAAGUCGGAGGUGAAAUCCUGGAGCUCAACUCCAGAACUGCCUUCGAUACUGGAGAGCUCGAGUCCGGGAGAGGGGAGUGGAACUGCGAGUGUAGAGGUGAAAUUCGUAGAUAUUCGCAAGAACACCAGUGGCGAAGGCGGCUCACUGGCCCGGUACUGACGCUGAGGUGCGAAAGCGUGGGGAGCAAACAGG